rnacentral:ncRNA from 1 species
GGGAGAAAUUUCUGAUGAGAUUGAGCAGAAGUCAGCAGAGGUCAUAGUAGUCCCGAAGUAUCGGGAUGAAGGGC